UAGCUCAGUUGGUAGAGCAUGGCGCUUGCGACGCCAGGACAUUGGGUUCAAUUCCCGG
rnacentral:tRNA from 1 species